rnacentral:rRNA from 1 species
AUGGCUCCAUCCCGCCGCAGCUCGGUGACCUCUCCGGCCUCGUCGACCUCCGCCUCUACAACAACAACCUCGUCGGCGACAUCCCGCACCAGCUCAGCAGGCUCCCCAGGAUUGUGCACCUCGACCUGGGCAGCAACUACCUCACCAACCCGGACUACAGCAAGUUCUCGCCAAUGCCCACCGUCACCUUCCUGUCGCUCUACCUCAACUACCUCAAUGGCAGCUUCCCGGAGUUCAUCCUCAAGAGCAGCAACAUCACCUACCUGGACCUUUCACAGAACAUUCUCUCCGGCCCGAUACCGGACUCGCUUUCGGAGAGCCUCCCCAGCCUCAUGUACCUCAACCUGUCCGUCAAUGCCCUCUCGGGCCGGAUACCAGCGUCGCUGUCAAAGCUGGGUAAGCUCCAGGACUUGCGGGUUGGCAAUAACAAUCUGA